AACUGAGUCUUAGUUCCUUCAUCUAUAAAAAACGGGAUACGGAGAAGAUUAGCGUGGCCCCUGCGCAAGGAUGACAUGCAAAUUCAUGAAGUGUUCCAUAUUUUU